rnacentral:rRNA from 1 species
ACGCACGCUGGCGGCGUGCUUCACACAUGCCAGUCGCACGGAAAGGCCCUGCUUUUGUGGGGUGCUCGAGUGGCGAACGGGUGAGUAACACGUGAGUAACCUGCCCUUGACUUUGGGAUAGCUUCAGGAAACUGGGGCUAAUACCGGAUAGGAGCUCCUGCUGCAUGGUGGGGGUUGGAAAGUUUCGGCGGUUGGGGAUGGACUCGCGGCUUAUCAGCUUGUUGGUGGGGUAGUGGCUUACCAAGGCUUUGACGGGUAGCCGGCCUGAGAGGGUGACCGGCCACAUUGGGACUGAGAUACGGCCCAGACUCCUACGGGAGGCAGCAGUGGGGAAUAUUGCACAAUGGGCGGAAGCCUGAUGCAGCAACGCCGCGUGCGGGAUGACGGCCUUCGGGUUGUAAACCGCUUUCGCCUGUGACGAAGCGUGAGUGACGGUAAUGGGUAAAGAAGCACCGGCUAACUACGUG